GAACGCUGGCGGCGUGCCUCACACAUGCAAGUCGAGCGAUCUUCUUCGGAAGAGAGCGGCGGACGGGUGAGUAACGCGUGGGUAACCUGCCCUGUACACACGGAUAACAUACCGAAAGGUAUGCUAAUACGGGAUAACAUAAGAAAGUCGCAUGGCUUUCUUAUCAAAGCUUUUGCGGUACAGGAUGGACCCGCGUCUGAUUAGCUAGUUGGUAAGGUAACGGCUUACCAAGGCGACGAUCAGUAGCCGACCUGAGAGGGUGAUCGGCCACAUUGGAACUGAGACACGGUCCAAACUCCUACGGGAGGCAGCAGUGGGGAAUAUUGCACAAUGGGCGAAAGCCUGAUGCAGCAACGCCGCGUGAGCGAUGAAGGCCUUCGGGUCGUAAAGCUCUGUCCUCAAGGAAGAUAAUGACGGUACUUGAGGAGGAAGCCCCGGCUAACUACGUGCCAGCAGCCGCGGUAAUACGUAGGGGGCUAGCGUUAUCCGGAAUUACUGGGCGUAAAGGGUGCGUAGGCGGUCUUUCAAGUCAGAAGUGAAAGGCUACGGCUCAACCGUAGUAAGCUUUUGAAACUGUAAGACUUGAGUGCAGGAGAGGAGAGUGGAAUUCCUAGUGUAGCGGUGAAAUGCGUAGAUAUUAGGAGGAACACCAGUUGCGAAGGCGGCUCUCUGGACUGUAACUGACGCUGAGGCAC
rnacentral:rRNA from 1 species